CACGUAGGGCGCAAGCGUUGUCCGGAAUUAUUGGGCGUAAAGAGCUCGUAGGCGGUCUGUUGCGUCCGCUGUGAAAACCCGGGGCUUAACCCCUGGCUUGCAGUGGAUACGGACAGACUAGAGGUAGGUAGGGGAGAAUGGAAUUCCCAGUGUAGCGGUGAAAUGCGUAGAUACUGGGAGGAACACCGGUGGCGAAGGCGGCUACCUGGACCGGUUCUGACGCUGAGGCGCGAAAGCGUGGGGAGCAAAACAGG
rnacentral:rRNA from 1 species